rnacentral:lncRNA from 1 species
CAGAAUUCUGGAUUCUACAGCUUAUGUUAAAUGGACAAUUUUGCAUAAAAGAAAAAGACAUGGCUUGCACAAAAAAACCUACCUGAAGAAGUGAUGCUAGGUCCUCAGAAGUUCUCUCACCAAGAAGUUCUCUUCAGUUGUACUAAAGGCCUACUGAGGGAAACACAAAGCAUGAUGUGCCCACUUUACCUGACAGAAGUCUACUCUCCACACUGCAGCUAACACG